AGAAUCUGGUCCAUUAUAACACAGAAGUAAAGGGCUCGCUCAAGUGAGAGAGUGAGCUGGGAGCUUUCGACCAUUCUCUGCUAUCUUCCUGGGUACACAGAAGCUCUAAAACAGAAGUGUAACUCCAGAGAAAGGAACAGAAUACGAACCCAAGAGUUCAGGUCUAUGUUUUGGAUCAUUAAUAUGCAAAUUACUUCAUGUAUUUAUAACAUAAAUUCUGUGUGCCCCAGUGAUGACAGCUAAUGAGAUACUCUCACUCAUGACUGGUCCAAAACUGGAAAGAAAAUCUCCUGGUCCAGGUGAAGAAGUCCAGUGAAUGCGGGACCGAGGCCCUCUGGUGGAGGAACGGAGGAAGUCUCCGGCCCUGAAGGAGGCCAGGCUGGAUGAGGCAACGCAGCCACUGGGUGCGUAUUCCCAGUUAAGCCUUCGAAGCAAAUACAAGUUUUUCUCAAACUGUUUUUAGUUUAUUCCUGGAGAGAGUUUAGGAUUCAGAAGCAAAUUCCUCCUCAAGCUGGGAAGAAUCCUGCUUGUAAGCAAAGAAGCCACAGUAACCACAGAGCGGAGAAACCUGAAGCUAUAGCCCACUGCAAUCAACGUGGCACCCAGAAGGGUCCCCUGCCCACCACAGAUCAAUCCAACAGCAGAAAGAGGUGAAACAGGCACAUCUUAAAGUGCCCAAAUGCAAAACACAAUUCUCAGGAAAGCCUAUGUCAUCCAAACAUGUUUAAAUCACAUAAUUUAAGCGAUUAUUCAACUAAUCGCUUCCACUGUUGCCAUGAGAGCAGAAAAAGAAAAACGUUAAAGUACAUGGAUAAUCAGAACAAAAGAAGGAAGUUAACUUGCAAGAAUUCCAUUCCAAAUGCUAUGAGAUAACCCAGUUUGAGAGCGGCAAACAAAACCCACAUGAUUGCCUUUAUAUCUCCAAACUGUUCGUUUAUUCUUAAAAUGUUGAGAUCAAUUAAAAAAUCUAGAAGGAACUGUUGCUUAAAACUCCACUGCAGAAUGAAGAUAAGAGAGCCAAGGAAUCUCCCAAUCUCCCUGUUUUUUGAGGGUUUCCACAGACCACUGACAUUAGGUCAUUUAUUCCAUGUCAACACCCUUGCCUGAGACAGUGCAAUGAUGUCAGAAUUCAUUAUGGUAAACUAUUCUCAAAACAAAUGUUCCUGCCAGCAUUCGCGCAGCAGGCACUCUGGCAAGCUGUCAGAACUUGGGGUUCAUCUCCUGCACUUUGCUGCACAAGCUUCCUGAGCUGGGUGCAUUUCCUUCCAUGUGGAAUGGUUCCCAACAGCUCGGCUGGGACCAAGGAGGAAAGGGCCGGCGGGUCCCCAGAACACCAGCUGCUUGUCCCACCUGACAGGCAGGCAGAGCUCUGCUUUCGCUUACCAGUAUCACGGUCCUCAGCCCAUGAUGGAGAGCUCAGGCCACGGUCCCACAGCCUUGCUCUCAUUCAAAUCCUUGCUCUCCCGUUGGCAGGAAAGCCUACCACUUUUCAUGGGGACAGAGUCUACUCUUCCCUUGACCUACUUCCAUCCUUUCUUCUAUCUUUCGCAUCUGGUUUCAUCCUCCUCCUGCUGAACCUCCUUCCAGGGCUUGUCUGCUGACUUGCCAGCACUCGACCCUCCCUCUUGACCCUCUAUCGUGGCAACGGGCUCCCGUUUCCCCGUGGGCCCCAUGGCAGCAACUCUCCAGGCUGGCCUCUGAAAUGGACAUUCUAACGUAGGAGCUUAUCGCGCCUGGUUUGUUCCUGUUCUACGACUCUGAACCACAUUCUCAGCUCUUUAAUAUUGCCAUCUGUCCCUCUGUAAUCAAACCAAGGGGGAAAUGUAACUGGGAAGAAAGCCAGAGCGCCAAAAUCAAAAUGGAAAACCAAGUCUUGGAGAAACCUGGGGACUUGAGAAUUGUUUCAGCUUGUGAUGGGUGGUUACUUCAAUCACGAGCUCCAAACGUUU